rnacentral:misc_RNA from 1 species
GGAAUAUCAUGCUACCAAUUACCGUUGCCUCCAUCGAACGAGAUUUCUCUUUGCUUUGCAAGGAAAGAGAUUACACUUCUCAUGGAAGGUGUCAUUAUGUAAAGGCUGCUUGUCCAUUACAUGCAGAGUAUUCCUUCCUAGGAGAAUAAUAUGGUUAGAGGUGCAAUGAUUCACUGGCAUAAGGUGCUCCAACCUUUUCUGAUUAGAAACUUUUUCCUACUUGAAUCAUGUCCCAGUGGUAAUGUAAUUGGUAGGCAUCCAAAAU